rnacentral:rRNA from 1 species
AUUGAACGCUGGCGGCAGGCCUAACACAUGCAAGUCGAGCGGAUGAAGGGAGCUUGCUCCUGGAUUCGGCGGCGGACGGGUGAGUAAUGCCUAGGAAUCUGCCUGGUAGUGGGGGAUAACGUCCGGAAACGGGCGCUAAUACCGCAUACGUCCUGAGGGAGAAAGUGGGGGAUCUUCGGACCUCACGCUAUCAGAUGAGCCUAGGUCGGAUUAGCUAGUUGGUGGGGUAAAGGCCUACCAAGGCGACGAUCCGUAACUGGUCUGAGAGGAUGAUCAGUCACACUGGAACUGAGACACGGUCCAGACUCCUACGGGAGGCAGCAGUGGGGAAUAUUGGACAAUGGGCGAAAGCCUGAUCCAGCCAUGCCGCGUGUGUGAAGAAGGUCUUCGGAUUGUAAAGCACUUUAAGUUGGGAGGAAGGGCAGUAAGUUAAUACCUCGCUGUUUUGACGUUACCAACAGAAUAAGCACCGGCUAACUUCGUG